GACGAACGCUGGCGGCGUGCCUAAUACAUGCAAGUAGAACGCUGAAGGAGGAGCUUGCUUCUCCGGAUGAGUUGCGAACGGGUGAGUAACGCGUAGGUAACCUGCCUGGUAGCGGGGGAUAACUAUUGGAAACGAUAGCUAAUACCGCAUAACAGUAGAUAUUGCAUGAUAUCUGCUGGAAAGGUGCAAUUGCAUCACUACCAGAUGGACCUGCGUUGUAUUAGCUAGUUGGUGAGGGAACGGCUCACCAAGGCGACGAUACAUAGCCGACCUGAGAGGGUGGUCGACCAACAUUGGAAUGGGACAAGGCUCCGGCUCCUUCGGGAGGCAGCAGUAGGGGAACAUUGGCAAAGGACGGAAAGCUUGCCGCGGAACGACCGGGUAGGUGAGAAGGGUCUCGGAUCGGAAAAGCCCGUUGUAAGGGAAAGAAGAGUGGGAGAGUGGAAAGUUCACGUUGUGACGGUACCUAAACAGAAAGCGACGGCUAACUACGUG
rnacentral:rRNA from 1 species